CUGCAGAACAUAUACCAAAAUGGAUCAGUGCUGGAGAAGUAUUUUCUUGGGAAGCUUACAAUGGUUUGCGGAUCACAAUCCAAUUGUUGGACUUACCCAGAUUUACAACUAACAUUUUAAUCUAACCCAGGCAGCCAGCAAUUGUUAUCCUUGAUCAUUUUUACAUUUUCUUCAAUUCUAUUAACAAAUUUUGGUUGCCUUUGGACAGAAGGUUUUAGAAUGCUGGCGGUAGCCGCCUUUCUAUUCUAUAUAGUCCUCUUUUGAUGGAGGCCGUGGCAGCCCUCCACCCACUGUUCACUGCUUUGAGUGAAAACUUUAACACCAGAGAAGGCGCCAAGUUUUCUGGUGCUGUUUUGAAGGUUUACCCCUUCAGGAUGUGGCAAGCCGAGGAUCAUGCUCUUAAGGUGGUGCAGCUACUGGUGGUCUCGGAGGCUAGGCCCCAUAUUUUCAUCGAGGCAGAGAAAGAUUGGGCAAGUUAUUAUCAAACAGUUUGCUGCUGCAGUUCAGUGGCAGCAGGUUACACCGGAAUGUUACAGAUCCCAUCAGUUAAUGUUGUUUGUUUGUGCUAGUAUCCCUGAU